rnacentral:rRNA from 1 species
AGAAGAAGCCCCGGCCAACUACGUGCCAGCAGCCGCGGUGAUACGUAGGGGGCGAGCGUUGUCCGGAUUCAUUGGGCGUAAAGAGCUCGUAGGCGGUUCGGUUAGUCAGAUGUGAAAACUCCGGGCUCAACUCGGAGAGGCCAUCUGAUACUGCCGGGCUAGAGGGUGGUAGAGGCGAGUGGAAUUCCCGGUGUAGCGGUGAAAUGCGCAGAUAUCGGGAGGAACACCAGUAGCGAAGGCGGCUCGCUGGGCCAUACCUGACGCUGAGACGCGAAAGCGUGGGGAGCAAACAGGAUUAGAUACCCUGGUAGUCCACGCCGUAAACGAUGAACACUAGGUGUGGGGGGAGUCGAAUCCCUCUGUGCCGCAGCCAACGCGAUAAGUGUUCCGCCUGGGGAGUACGGCCGCAAGGCUAAAACUCAAAAGAAUUGACGGGGGCCCGCACAAGCAGCGGAGCAUGUUCUUUAAUUCGAUGCAACGCGAAGAACCUUACCUGGACUUGACAUGGUGCUGCAAGCGCACGGAAACGUGUGACCUUCGAGGGUGCACCACAAGAUGCUGCAUGGCUGUCG